rnacentral:lncRNA from 1 species
GGAGGAGAAAGAGACGAUCAACGCACUUCAGGCCACCCUGGGCCAGCUGCUGCGUACCCUUUAGACUGACCCCAUGAGAGGCACGAUCCCCAUUGUACAGAUGAGGAAACUGAGGCUCAGCAGGGGCCUCCCAGGCUACACUCAGCAAGACGUUUUCACAGAGACCUUCAUUCUGCUUAUUCACUCCCAGAACUGCACUUGGAUUCAGUAGAUGUUGGCUAAGGACUCUGCCAGGUACUGGGGGUUGAUGGACUUGGGUCUGACUCCCUCUGACUUUGUCCCUUGGUGACUGAGUAGUGUUGACCGGGUCCCUGACUGCUCAGAUCAGGAAUAAUACUAUUGUCUGCUUCAGAGGGUAGUGAGGAGGACUCAGUGUUCAGCCCUUGUGUGUGCCCAGUAAGUUGUGUCCAACUAUUGUGACCCUGUGGACUGUAGCCCACCAGGCUCCUCUGUCCAUGGAAUUUCCCAGGCAGGAAUACUGGGAGGGGGUUGGUGGAUUAGACAUCUAAGCACCAACACACCAACUGAGUGGGUUGCCACUUCCUUCUCCAGGGGAUCUUCCUUACCCAGGGGCCAAACCCACAUCUCCUGAGUCUCCUGCAUUGCAAGCAGAUUCCUUACCACUGGGCCAUCGGGGAAGCCCCGUGUCCAGCCCUGGGUCGGGCAGACAGUGAGCACCUGACAAUCAGUUGCCAGCAGGACUGAUCCAGAGAGGGUUAUAUCCUGGUCCCGUGCGUGUGUGUGUAUGUGUGUGUGUGUGUGCGCGUCGGGGCUGCGGAUGGGAGGACAGAGGUGGCUCAGAUUUUAAAGAGAGAGUUAUGUAGCUGGAUUAUUUCUAGUCGUGGGGUUGAUGGCAGGAUGAACACAGCCACAGGAACACAGACAGGUGCUCAGCCUAUGGGUGGGCUUCAGGGAAAGCUUCCUGGGGCAGGUGAACACUGAGCUGAGUCUUGAGGACUGAAUCGGAAGGCAGUAGGGCCAGAUGCUUAGAGGUGAGGCCUGAGGGGAAGUGUGGCCAGUGUCUCGUUACCAGACAGCGGAGUAUGACGGAACGUGGGCGACAAAGGGGGAGCUCGGAAAGACCGCAGGGCAAGAUGACAGCAUGCGUUUGGGGUAGAGCCUGGGAGCAGUGGCAAGUCCUGAGAGGGGUUUCUAACGAGGGAGCAGAUGAGCAGGUUUGAUCUUUAGGAGGUCUACCCCAUCCUCUGUGC